rnacentral:tRNA from 1 species
UCCCUGGUGGUCUAGUGGUUAGGAUUUGGUGCUUUCACUGCUGUAGCCCGAGUUCAAUCCUUGGUCUGGGAC